rnacentral:rRNA from 1 species
AUGCUUGAACACUUGAGUGAUUAUAUGUCUAGAGUUAAAGGUGAAAUUAAACUUAUUAGUAAACAUGCUUCUAUGGUGACCACUCAAGUAGAACAAGUACUUAAGGCUCAGAAAGAUUUGCUCAAUGAAUUAAAUAAUAAUAAAAAUGAUAAUGCUGUUAGAGUUGUGACUAGAGGGGGUAAAAUGACUCAGGAACCUUUGUAUCCUGAGGGCCACCCUAAGAGAAUUGAGCAAGAUUCUCAGAGAACUAAUGUUGAUGCACCUAGUUCUUCUAAGAAGAAGAAAAAGAAAAAUGAUAGGACUUUGCAUGCUUCUAGUGAACCUGUUGUAGACACACCUGAGAAUCCCAAUGAUAUUUCUAUUUCUGAUGCUGAAACACAAUCUGGUAAUGAACAUGAACCUAGUGAUAAUGUUAAUGAUGAUGUUCAUGUUGAUGCUCAACCUAGCAAUGACAAUGAUGUAGAGAUUGAACCUGCUGUUGAUCUUGAUAACCCACAAUCAAAGAAUCAAUUUUAUGAUAAGAGAGACUUUGUUGCUAGGAAGCACGGUAAAGAAAGAGAACCAUGGGUUCAAAAACCAAUGCCUUUUCCUCCUAAACCAUCCAAGAAAAAGAAUGAUGAGGAUUUUGAGCAUUUUGCUGAAAUGAUUAGACCUAUCUUUUUGCGUAUGUGUUUGACUGAUAUGCUUAAAAUGAACCCUUAUUCUAAGUAUAUGAAAGAUAUUGUUACUAAUAAAAGAAAGAUACCGGAAGCUGAAAUUUCCACCAUGCUUGCUAAUUAUAAUUUUAAAGGUGGAAUACCAAAGAAACUAGGAGAUCCCGGAAUACCAACUAUACCAUGCUCCAUUAAAAGAAACUAUGUUAAAACUGCUUUAUGUGAUCUCGGAGCCGGUGUUAGUGUUAUGCCUCUCUCUUUAUAUCGUAGACUUGAUUUGAAUAAGUUGACACCUACUGAAAUAUCUUUGCAAAUGGCUGAUAAAUCAAUUGCUAUACCUGUCGGUGUUUGUGAGGAUGUGCCGGUUGUGGUUGCAAACGUUACUAUUUUAACAGACUUUGUUAUUCUUGAUAUUCCUGAGGACGAUAGUAUGUCCAUUAUUCUUGGAAGACCCCUUUUGAAUACUGCAGUGGCUGUUAUUGAUUGCAACAAAGGCAAUGUCACUUUUCAUGUUAAUGGUAAUGAGCAUACGGUACACUUUCCAAGGAAACAACCUCAAGUGCACAGUAUCAAUUCUAUUGGAAAAAAUCCAACAAUUACUGUUGGAGGUUUUGAAUUUCCUCUUCCUACUCUCAAGCAGAAAUAUGAUAUUCUUAUUGUUGGGGACGUGCAUAUCCCCGUUGAGGUAACCUAG